rnacentral:lncRNA from 1 species
CCCCCUUUUGCAAAUUUUGAGGCUCCAAUUAACUGGGGGACUGGGGCAAAUUGCCACCUUUGCCCCCCCCCCCCUCCCCCUCUGGGCGGCGCUGCUAGCACAAGUUGCAUAUUCAUAAAUUUGUGGUUUUAAAAGCAGUUACUGUCAAAAUUUUGUGAUGUGUUUAUUUGUCCAUUAAAGUUAAAGAACACUGAAAAUAUCAGCACUGUGGAGGCAAAUUUGUUCUGUAG